rnacentral:rRNA from 1 species
ACGAACGCUGGCGGCGUGCUUAACACAUGCAAGUCGAACGGAAAGGCCUUUUCGGAGGUACUCGAGUGGCGAACGGGUGAGUAACACGUGGGUGAUCUGCCCUGCACUCUGGGAUAAGCCUGGGAAACUGGGUCUAAUACCGGAUAGGACCGCACUUUAGUGUGUGUGGUGGAAAGUUUUUUCGGUGUAGGAUGAGCCCGCGGCCUAUCAGCUUGUUGGUGGGGUAAUGGCCUACCAAGGCGGCGACGGGUAGCCGGACUGAGAGGUUGGUCGGCCACAUUUGGACUGAGAUACGGCCCAGACUCCUACGGGAGGCAGCAGUGGGGAAUAUUGCACAAUGGGCGCAAGCCUGAUGCAGCGACGCCGCGUGGGGGAUGACGGCCUUCGGGUUGUAAACUCCUUUCGCCAGGGACGAAGCGUUUUGUGACGGUACCUGGAGAAGAAGCACCGGCUAACUACGUG